rnacentral:lncRNA from 1 species
UCAGCCAACUCAACAAUUAAAGCGUAUGGCUUCCAUCGCCUACGGACAUCGAGCCUCUCACAGCAAACCCGCAUGACUACGAAUGAUGGCAUGACUCCACGACGACUUGAGCUACGGCCUAAUCUCCUACAGUAAUAGCAUUGAUUCACACGAUCGAGCAUUAAUGUUCAAUUGUACGACAAACCAUUUGCUCUGUCACAUCACAGGUAACCCGGCCCUCUC